AAAACUUUCAACAACGGAUCUCUUGGUUCUGGCAUCGAUGAAGAACGCAGCGAAAUGCGAUAAGUAAUGUGAAUUGCAGAAUUCCGUGAAUCAUCGAAUCUUUGAACGCACAUUGCGCCCUUUGGCAUUCCGAAGGGCAUGCCUGUCCGAGCGUCAUUG
rnacentral:rRNA from 3 species